rnacentral:rRNA from 1 species
ACUUAACUUGAUUUUCUUCGGAACUGAUUGUUUUGUGACUGAGUGGCGGACGGGUGAGUAACGCGUGGGUAACCUGCCUCACACAGGGGGACAACAGCUGGAAACGGCUGCUAAUACCGCAUAAGCGCACAGCUUCGCAUGAAGCAGUGUGAAAAACUCCGGUGGUGUGAGAUGGACCCGCGUCUGAUUAGGUAGUUGGUGAGGUAACGGCCCACCAAGCCGACGAUCAGUAGCCGACCUGAGAGGGUGACCGGCCACAUUGGGACUGAGACACGGCCCAAACUCCUACGGGAGGCAGCAGUGGGGAAUAUUGCACAAUGGGCGAAAGCCUGAUGCAGCGACGCCGCGUGAGCGAAGAAGUAUUUCGGUAUGUAAAGCUCUAUCAGCAGGGAAGAGAAUGGCGGUACCUGACUAAGAAGCUCCGGCUAAAUACGUGCCAGCAGCCGCGGUAAUACGUAUGGAGCAAGCGUUAUCCGGAUUUACUGGGUGUAAAGGGAGCGUAGGCGGCAGGGCAAGUCUGAUGUGAAAACCCAGGGCUCAACCUUGGGACUGCAUUGGAAACUGUUCGGCUGGAGUGUCGGAGAGGCAAGCGGAAUUCCUAGUGUAGCGGUGAAAUGCGUAGAUAUUAGGAGGAACACCAGUGGCGAAGGCGGCUUGCUGGACGAUGACUGACGCUGAGGCUCGAAAGCGUGGGGAGCAAACAGGAUUAGAUACCCUGGUAGUCCACGCCGUAAACGAUGA